GAUGAACGCUGGCGGCGUGCUUAACACAUGCAAGUCGAACGGUGAAGGCGGAGCUUGCUCUGCUGGAUCAGUGGCGAACGGGUGAGUAACACGUGAGCAAUCUGCCCCUGACUCUGGGAUAAGCGCUGGAAACGGCGUCUAAUACUGGAUACGAGCUGCGAAGGCAUCUUCAGCAGCUGGAAAGAAUUUCGGUCAGGGAUGAGCUCGCGGCCUAUCAGCUUGUUGGUGAGGUAAUGGCUCACCAAGGCGUCGACGGGUAGCCGGCCUGAGAGGGUGACCGGCCAAACGGGGACGGAGAACCGGCCCAGACCCCUACGGGGGGGAGGGGGGGGGAAUUUGGCACAAGGGGGGAAAGCGUGAUGCAGCAACCCCGGGGGGGGGACGACGGCCCCGGGUUGGAAAACCUCUUUGGGCAGGAAAGAAGGGAAAGUGCCGGUACCUGCAAAAAAAGCCCCGGCUAACUACGU
rnacentral:rRNA from 1 species